GGGGAGAGGAGAAAAAUCCAAUUUCGGAAAGAGAACAUAAGGGAACAAAGAAAAAAGGAGUGGGACAAACAGGCACGUGACAGAUGAAUGAACAACUUUCUAUGCAAGCUUUUUAUGGUGCAAUGGAGGACCUUUAAGACAGCUUUAGAAGGGUGGUGAUCAAUUUCUUGGUUACAUUUCCUUUCCAAUUCUUAUUGGACUUUUUUGUUUUCAUUUUAUUUUCUUCGCUUUUAUUUCUUUAGUUUUGGUAUAUUGUUUUAUUAUUGAUGGUUUGUUGUACUCAGUUUUUGAU
rnacentral:lncRNA from 1 species